UGAAUACUACAAGUAACAAUGAAUACAGAAUACACACGAGAUAUGAGAGCAACUUAUUUCUAAAGUUUUAAUGGAGUUUGCGAUUGCAAGAUUGUACGUAGUGUAGACUUAGGCAGCAUUCGCUUCAUCGAUGACUUAAUCCCGUUUGGCAGCAAGAUGAGUGACUGGAAGGAAUUAUAUGACCAAGAAAGUUUGUGUCGCAAGUUUUGCUGUAUUCAUUCUUCGAAAUAAACUUCCUUUCCUUCCCUCUCUGGCACCAAAAGUGAUAAAUUGCCUUCAAGGAAAUGGUGCCACAAAAAGCAGGGAUCGCAGGAACAGUGAGCCAGCAAGCCGUAAAACUUCAAGAGUACAAAGCCAGAAGGAACAAGAAUAUUAUGGAUCCUCGAGGUGUUGUGAUUUUUGUGUGGCUGAUGACCUCCCCGUGGUGCUGUGCGGGUCAGAGAGCUGCUAGGAAGACCAAUGACGCUAACAAACUAUCCAUAGUGCCCCCAGGGUAUCUCCAGGAGCUCGCCCCGUGGCCUCAGGACGGGUCGCCACUCAUGAUAAACUUCAGCCUCAAAGUCAAUGCCAUCAUGGAGACGGACGAAAAACAGACGGCAGUGAUUCUCGACUCCUUCUUCCGAGUCAAGUGGAGCGACUGGCGCCUGAACUACCCAGAGGAGGAGGAGAGCGGGAAGGGAAGUGGUGGCGGCAGUGAUAAUGGGGAGGUGCGGCAUACGAUCGUGAACCCCGUGCUGCUGGAGGAGGUGUGGCUGCCUGACCCUUACAUCUUCAACGUGCGUGACAUCAGCACUGUGCGUCUCUUACUGAAAGAUGUGAGAGGAGUGGUGCUAUACUCCGACGGCACGCUCUUUGUCUCUAUUCUGACCAAGAUCCAUCUCGGAUGCUCCGCCAAGUUCUCGCGUUUUCCUUUCGACGAGCAGGAGUGUAGCCUGGCUAUCUACAGCUUCUUCCUUUGGUACGGUCUUCCGCUUCACCUGGUCACUGCCUUGCCAGACAUGUACGAGGCUCCGACCCUUGAGAUGCGCUGGCUGCCCAGCGGCUUGGUGGUGGACCCGAGAGUCAAGGACCAGCUCACUAACUUCGACUACACCUUCACCAUCGGCAACACCUCUUCCAACACCUGCCCCUGCUACAAGUGCAUUCCACCGGAAGCCCCCUGUGUGUACGCCACCCUGGUACUGACGAGGAAGGUCCUGGGUCACCUGCUGAGCACCUUCCUGCCCUCGGGACUGUUCGUGGCGGUGUCCUACGCGUCGCUUUUCUGGCCCGCUGACGUGAUUCCCGGCAGGACAGUGCUGGUCAUCACCUCGCUGCUCACACUUGUUUCCAUGCACACAGGCGUCAGGCAGUCAAGCCCCGAGACGAGCUACAUUAAGGCCGUGGACGUGUGGAUGAUUGCCUGUAUCGUGAUGUCCGCCCUCAUGCUCUUCGAAUACGGCAUCGUUCUCUUCAUCAAGAAGCAGCACAAGGAGCCGGCGCCGGCAGUGAAGGAAGAGCCACCAUCCCGCACUGCACAUGUCCCGCCGUCAGCCAAGUCCAUCAAGACUGCCUUUGAGCUGAGUGUAGGCCGAGAGAAGGUGUCGCCGCUACAAGUGAAUCUGAAGACGAGGCAGAGCGCGCACAGGUGGUGGCAGGCGCUGAAGGAGGACAAGGUGGAGAAUAUCUUUAAAGUCCUGGCUCCUGUUGUGUUUCUGUUCUUCAACCUGGUCUACUGGCCGUAUUACCUAGUUUAUUAACACCUGGUCUCAUCCUCUUCCUUGAUACGCACACGCAACACCCAAACGACGAGCGGCGGUGCUGUGGCUUUGUGGGUGCAAGGGACUGCACAACGAGGCUCCUCCACUAUAGAACUAUACCACAACAUAUGACCUCGAUGCUGCGACGCCAUAAACUUCUAUCAAUCAGCCAUCAAUCCAUCACGACCUUCAAAUGCCUCAUCACCUUCCUCUUCGCUGCAGCUCAUAAUGUUCGUCUCUCUCCAACAUAUACAAUGAUAAGAACACUUUUCAGACUGAAUAAAAUCAUCUGCGUAUUGUUAGCUUACAGUAAACACGAAUGUGACUGUACUGGGUGAAUAACUACAGGGGAUUCCGGACUCCUUAGUAGCAAAAAUAUAACACAAGUCACGAUGCAUUUCUUAUCAUGAAUAAUUAAAAAAAAAUAAAUGAAAAAAGGAACAAAUAUGAUAGAAAAACAAUAGGUAUACAAGUAAAACAGACCUGCUAAUGACACUAUUAUGUAAUCUGUAUCAUAUCUCACGAAGCUUUGGAUAACUUGCCACUAAAAGGAAGGACUGAGACUGAUACAUCUAAACACAUUUCAUCAUUGACUUGUGGCACGUUAAAAGCAUCUAAGUAAAUAGCACAAAGGCAGUGCAUGCUUAUAUGUACGAGAUUUAUUUGUGCUUUAAGUACAAACAAACCAUAUCUGCAUAUGUUGCCUGAUACCGUAUUAGUUAUAACCGAGUGUCCAUUUGAAAAAAAAAAAAAAAAA